GAUGAAGAACGUAGCGAAAUGCGAUAAGUAAUGUGAAUUGCAGAAUUCAGUGAAUCAUCGAAUCUUUGAACGCACCUUGCACCCUUUGGCAUUCCGAAGGGUAUGCUCGUUUGAGUGUCAUUGUACUCUCACUCUCCCGAUGCUUUUGGAUCGGGAGUGGUGGACUUGGGUGUUGCUGCUUUGCUGUGGCUCGCCUCAAAUGGAGUAGUGCAACUCUUGGUUGGACAUAGUACGGCGUGAUAAGUGUCUUCGCCGGCGCCUCAUUAUAGAGGGUGGCCGAUCGGGAGCUCUGUGCUUCAAACCGUCUUCGGACAACAUCUGACAACUUGACCUCAGAUCGAGUAGGACUACCCGCUGAACUUAAGCAUAUCAAUAAGCGGAGGA
rnacentral:misc_RNA from 1 species